GCAAGGUGAAAUUAAGUUGUCUUGUAUUAAUUGGCUAGCCACAUGAAUCUAAUCUCCCAAGUCUAAACGUAGCAAAGCGAGAUUGGAUUAUUUUGUUUUAGUGUCUUAAUUUCACCCAGUCUAAACGUAGCAAGGUGAAAUUAAGUUGUCUUGUAUUAACUGUUUAAACUCAUAGGUUAAACAUAGCACUUGAGUAAGAUGUAUUGUGUUAAAAUUGUAUAACUGUGUGUAUAUGGUUUAAAGUUUGAUAAACUGUAACAUCAUUUGAGAAGAGAUUUUUGUGUAAACUCCAGUUGUCAGUUAGUAUACAAGCUGAAAAUUGUGACCUUUCGAUCUCUCAAAAGGUGAUACAGUGAGUGUAUACAUUUGGUGUUUCAACGUACAAGUAACAGAAAUGAGGUUGAAUCAUGGCAAGCAGCUUGAUCAUGGGGAUAGUAUACCCAGUGAUUCCCCAGUUUAUUUAAUGAAACAGAAAUAUGGCCCUUCAAAUAUUAUGUAUUCAAAGAAAUGGGCAAAGUUAACUAAGAAUAAUAUAAAUCCAUGGCCAGUGGUGGGGUCAUUAGACCCUUGGGUGUUGUUAAGUUUAAGAACAAUGUUGUUAAAUGAAAAAAGUCUUUCAAAACUGGAAUGGUCUGCAUAUAUGUUAUGGCAUGAGGAAAUUGAAAAGAAAAAGCAAGAAUGUUCCCCCCAGUCUGGUGCAACAGGAGGGGCAUGUAAAGGAGAGGGUACUGGUGUUGCCUGUUUGUAUCCCUCACUGUACAAUUUAAAAAGAAAUGUUAAAAAUCCUCCGCCUUAUAAUGAUGAUGAGGAUUUUUUGAUUAAUCAUGAGAUUAUGAAUCCCUCUUUGGGUCACCGCCCCUCAGCAGAUGAAUGAUGCACCACAGCUUGUACCCCAAAAUUUAGCUGGUGCCUCAGCCAUGUUGCAUUGAGGUGGUAGACCUGAGAGGGAUAUUAGACUGCCUAAAAGAUUUGCUGAUCAUGCUGUGGUUACUAUCAGGUUUAUCAGGAUGUAGCAAUGUGUUGCCUGAGAGUGAUGGGAGUGAG